GCGGCGUGCUAUACAUGCAAGUCGAGCGACAGAAGGGAGCUUGCUCCCGGAUGUUAGCGGCGGACGGGUGAGUAACACGUGGGUAACUGCCUGUAAGACUGGGAUAACUCCGGGAAACCGGAGCUAAUACCGGAUAGUUCCUUGAACCGCAUGGUUCAAGGAUGAAAGACGGUUUCGGCUGUCACUUACAGAUGGACCCGCGGCGCAUUAGCUAGUUGGUGAGGUAACGGCUCACCAAGGCGACGAUGCGUAGCCGACCUGAGAGGGUGAUCGGCCACACUGGGACUGAGACACGGCCCAGACUCCUACGGGAGGCAGCAGUAGGGAAUCUUCCGCAAUGGACGAAAGUCUGACGGAGCAACGCCGCGUGAGUGAUGAAGGUUUUCGGAUCGUAAAGCUCUGUUGUUAGGGAAGAACAAGUGCAAGAGUAACUGCUUGCACCUUGACGGUACCUAACCAGAAAGCCACGGCUAACUACGUGCCAGCAGCCGCGGUAAUACGUAGGUGGCAAGCGUUGUCCGGAAUUAUUGGGCGUAAAGGGCUCGCAGGCGGUUUCUUAAGUCUGAUGUGAAAGCCCCCGGCUCAACCGGGGAGGGUCAUUGGAAACUGGGAAACUUGAGUGCAGAAGAGGAGAGUGGAAUUCCACGUGUAGCGGUGAAAUGCGUAGAGAUGUGGAGGAACACCAGUGGCGAAGGCGACUCUCUGGUCUGUAACUGACGCUGAGGAGCGAAAGCGUGGGGAGCGAACAGGAUUAGAUACCCUGGUAGUCCACGCCGUAAACGAUGAGUGCUAAGUGUUAGGGGGUUUCCGCCCCUUAGUGCUGCAGCUAACGCAUUAAGCACUCCGCCUGGGGAGUACGGUCGCAAGACUGAAACUCAAAGGAAUUGACGGGGGCCCGCACAAGCGGUGGAGCAUGUGGUUUAAUUCGAAGCAACGCGAAGAACCUUACCAGGUCUUGACAUCCUCUGACAACCCUAGAGAUAGGGCUUUCCCUUCGGGGACAGAGUGACAGGUGGUGCA
rnacentral:rRNA from 1 species